AAAAUGCGAUAAGUAAUGUGAAUUGCAGAAUUCAGUGAAUCAUCGAAUCUUUGAACGCACAUUGCGCCCGCCAGUAUUCUGGCGGGCAUGCCUGUUCGAGCGUCAUUUCAACCCUCAAGCCCCCGGGUUUGGUGUUGGGGAUCGGGCUGCGGUUCUACCGCGUCCCGGCCCCGAAAUCUAGUGGCGGUCUCGCUGCAGCCUCCAUUGCGUAGUAGCUAACACCUCGCAACUGGAACGCGGCGCGGCCAAGCCGUUAAACCCCCAACUUCUGAAUGUUGACCUCGGAUCAGGUAGGAAUACCCGCUGAACGUAAGCA
rnacentral:misc_RNA from 1 species